GUCCACGCUGUAAACGAUGGGCACUAGGUGUCGCGGGUAUUGACCCCUGCGGUGCCGCAGCUAACGCAUUAAGUGCCCCGCCUGGGGACUACGGCCGCAAGGUUAAAACUCAAAGGAAUUGACGGGGGCCCGCACAAGCGGUGGAGCAUGUGGUUCAAUUCGACGCAACGCGAAGAACCUUACCCGGGCUAGACAACAGAGGGCACCCUUAGAAAUAAGGUCUUCCCUUCGGGGACCUCUGGUUCAGGUGCUGCAUGGCUGUCGU
rnacentral:rRNA from 1 species